rnacentral:lncRNA from 1 species
UAGUCCUUAACUCAAAUUGCAUUUUGUCUAAAUGAUCCUUCAAUUUCUGACUUGUGCCUCAAGUUUUAGGCAAGAAUUAUGUUUUAGUCCUUGUUAGAAGGUUCUAAGGGAUUACUAUCAGGUUUUUUACAGGUUCAAAUCCCUCUUAUACCCUCACUUCCUUUUAUAAAUUACCCCCCCUCUUGAAGUUUUGACCUUAGUCAAUUCCUUGACCCUAGUUUAGUUACAAUUGACCUUGGUCAAUCAAAUUUGGGUCACCCUUUAAUUUUAGACUAACAGGCUCAUGAAAAUUCAGAAUUAGCAAACAUUAUCAAGGCUCAAAAUAAAUGCCUUAAUGUUGAUUUUCACAUCCAAACAUUAUCAAAACAAAGGACUAGAAGAAUGAAUACACUUAUCAACACUCAGUUUUCAUAAAUGCCUCAAUCAAAAUGCUUCAGAAAUACUUAACAACGAGAAACACACAUCAAUUUGGUUCAAGAAUCACCUUAGGAAGCAAGUAAAGACUACCAAUGAGCAAUUAAAGGUCUCAACCCCCCAAAUCAACUUAAACCAACAUCAAUUCUGAAAAAUCAAAGUCAUUAUGGCAAUCAAAUACUUAGGGGACAAGAAAUCAUAGAAUCAGAAGAUGGAUGUCAAUUAAGCCCUUAAAAUCACAUCACUGAAGAAUUAACUAGACUUUCAAGAUCAAGGAGCUGAUAUUAACAGAAAAUUAUUCAAGAGACGAACAGACUUCCAGACCAGUGUCAAACAAAGCAUAUGAAUAUUGAAACCUUUUUCAGAUGAACUUGUGGACAAACAGACAAGCAACCAAAAGAAAAUCAAAUAAAAGAACUUCAAACUAUUAAACAUAACUACUGAACCUAAUGAAUUAUUAAAACAAAUCAAGCAUUUAAUCAGCUAAAAUAUGAAAAUAUACAGAAAACUUAGCUUUUUCAUGCAUGUCCGUUUAGACCCUUUCAUCAGCUCUUGACACCUGCCACAGGGUUUCGAACACUCCUAAGAUGUAUAUUCAGUUUAAGAGCUCAGGGGAGGGUUUUCAAGGUUCUAAGACCUCAGUAAGGUCUCAGAUUUAGAUUUUUUCAGUGGUUGGGGUUGUUUGGGACUCAUGGGUGAUAUGGUUGGGGACUGGAGGGAUCAGGGACUGUCUAGGAGGAUUUUGAGUCCUUUCCGACGUGUUUUGUGUUUUAGGGUUAGGCUUCGAAUUGAAAUUCGAAGAGUUUCAGGAAGAUUCGAGAAGGGUGACAUACAUGGUUGGAACAGGGAGAUUAAGGUGCCUUAGGGGUGUAAAUCUGGAGGGCUUUAGA